rnacentral:rRNA from 1 species
GUUUGUUGAGUUAAGAGACGGUUGUAGUUUUUUUGGAAUUAGGUGGGGUACCUUUUGCAUCAUGAUUCGCUGAUGUGGUUUUAAGGAUUUAGGGACUCGAAGGGUUACGAUUAUCAUUCAAUAUGUUUAGUACUUAUGGCUAAGUGGGUAAUUUUCUAGAUAGUUGUUUGAGGUGUUGAAAAAUAAUUCGUGUGAUCUGAUAGCUAGUUGAGAAGGAGUGUUGUAGUUUAUGUUCUGUUGCGAAGCGGUGAUAGGGUAUAUAAGAAAUGUGUUGUGAGUAGUAGUUGGUCUAGGGUUAGAGUUACCCCUGAUUAAGUAGUAUGUUAUUAUAAGGUGUUUGUGUUGUAGUGUUUUUAGUUUUAUACUUCUCAUUAGAAAUUAGUUGGAAGGUUAAUGGUGGAAUAAGUAGAGUUGUUAGUGUCUCUUUUUUUUCUCGGUGCUUGUCGGUCUGUUUUUCAAAAACAUUUCUAUUUGUGAUGGUUGAAUAGUAGGACCUGCCCUAUGUUUGUAUAAAUGGCCGCAGUAUAUUGACUGUGCAAAGGUAGCAUAAUUAAUUGUCUCGUAAUUGGGGAAUUGUUUGAAUGGUUGAACUAGAUAAGAGGGAAGAUGGGAGAGUUGUUUGAAAUUGGAUAUUUGGUGCAGAUUCCAAAGGAGUUUAGUGGGACGGAAAGACCCCGAGAGCUUUAUAUUAAGAUAUUUAUUUGGGGCAGAGGUAAAUUAUUUAUUUAUUUUAUGAUCCUAAGGAGGGUAAUAGGUGUAAGUUACCUCGGGGAUAACUAGGUAAGAAGUAAGGAGAGAUCUGAUCGAUUUAUUUAUUUGCCAUCUCGAUGUUGAUUUAAAGUAAUGUAAGGGCGCAGAAGUUUUUAUAUGUGGUCUGUUCGACCAUAGUACUUUUCAUGAAUUGAGUUAAGACCGGUGUAAGCCAGGUCGGUUCUUAUCUGUUAUUCUUACGGGUUAGUACGAAAGGAUUGCUCGUAAUUUAUGUU